UAUUCUGCAGAGCCAAAAGAAGCCCCUAGAAACACAAGGAUGGUAUCCAGGCCCCCCUAGAGUCCUGGGGAGGAUCCACACCGUCUGUGGAUUGCUCUCUGAAAUUGGGUAGAUGAACCAUCAACCCUCAUUUUCAUUUUAUGUCAUGUUUAGAAUUGUGUGUGAUAGAGGCUGUACAUACACAUUUUACAGGAAGCGCCUGGCACUGUGUGAGGCUGGCGGUUGAAUGGUCAGGACUAUAGUAGUGGCUCUAAGCCAGACUCACAGCCCUUUCUCAUUUCUCGCUCCAUCCCCCACUCCGUUCAUUUCCAGGCCUUUCCACGAAGAGUCCUCAGCCUUCUCCCUCCAGCCAGAAGAGCCCUCUGAGUCUGAGCCCUGCAUUUCAGGUGCCUUUGGGCCCAGCUGAACAGGGCUCAUCCCCACUCCUGAGCCCUGUCCUCAGUGAUGCUGGCGGAGCCGGGAUGGACUACGAGGAGCCGAGACACAAGCGCAUGCCUGCAGAUGAGGCCUACUUCAUAGUCAAAGAGAUUCUCGCUACAGAACGAACAUACCUGAAAGAUUUAGAAGUUAUUACCGUGUGGUUCCGCAGCGCAGUGGUGAAGGAGGACGCCAUGCCUGCGACUCUGAUGACACUGCUCUUCUCCAACAUCGAUCCCAUCUAUGAGUUCCACAGAGGCUUCCUGCGCGAGGUGGAGCAGAGGC
rnacentral:sRNA from 1 species